rnacentral:rRNA from 1 species
UGGGGAAUUUUUCGCAAUGGGCGCAAGCCUGACGAAGCAACGCCGCGUGGAGGAUGAAGGUCUUCGGAUUGUAAACUCCUGUCGACCGGGACGAAUGCACUCGACCUAAUACGUCGAGUUGUUGACGGUACCGGUGGAGGAAGCCACGGCUAACUCUGUGCCAGCAGCCGCGGUAAUACAGAGGUGGCAAGCGUUGUUCGGAAUUACUGGGCGUAAAGGGCGCGUAGGCGGCCUUGUAAGUCUCGUGUGAAAGCCCUCGGCUUAACUGAGGAUCUGCACGGGAUACUGCGAGGCUAGAGUUCGGGAGAGGAAAGCGGAAUUCCGGGUGUAGCGGUGAAAUGCGUAGAUAUCCGGAGGAACACCAGGGGCGAAGGCGGCUUUCUGGACCGACACUGACGCUGAGGCGCGAAAGCUAGGGGAGCAAACGGGAUUAGAUACCCCGGUAGUCCCUGAGCGGGCUGGCAAGGCGCAU